AAAUGACGAGUUUGAUCCUGGCUCAGGAUAAACGCUGGCGGCGUGCCUAACACAUGCAAGUCGAACGCCCUGUUCUUCUUCGGAGGAAGAGGGAGUGGCGGACGGGUGAGUAACACGUGGGCAAUCUACCCACAGGUGAGGAAUACCGGCGAGAAAUCGCCGACAAUACCGCAUACGCUCUCGUGAGAGAGCAAAGCCUCGCGUAAGCGAAGCGCCUGGGGAUGAGCCUGCGCCCGAUUAGCUAGUUGGUGGGGUAAGAGCUUACCAAGGCGACGAUCGGUAGCUGGUCUGAGAGGAUGAGCAGCCACACUGGGAUUGAGAACGGCCCAGACUCCUACGGGAGGCAGCAGUGAGGAAUUUUCCGCAAUGGGCGAAAGCCUGACGGAGCAACGCCGCGUGCAGGAGGAAGGUCUUCGGAUCGUAAACUGCUUUUAUCGGGGAAGAGAACGGACGGUACCCGAAGAAUAAGCCCCGGCUAACUACGUGCCAGCAGCCGCGGUAAUACGUAGGGGGCGAGCGUUGUCCGGAAUUACUGGGCGUAAAGCGCGUGCAGGCGGUCCAUUAAGUUCAGAGCAACAGUCACCGGCUUAACCGGUGAAGGCCUUUGAAAACUGGUGGACUUGAGAGCGAGAGAGGGAUAUGGAACUCCAGGUGGAGCAGUGAAAUGCGUAGAGAUCUGGAAGAACACCAAGGCGAAGGCAGUAUCCUGGCUCGUUUCUGACGCUCAAACGCGAAAGCCAGGGGAGCGAACGGGAUUAGAUACCCCGGUAGUCCUGGCCGUAAACGAUGACCACUAGACGUGGGAGGUAUCGACCCCUUCCGUGUCACAGCCAACGCGAUAAGUGGUCCGCCUGGGGAGUACGACCGCAAGGUUAAAACUCAAAGGAAUUGACGGGGACCCGCACAAGCAGCGGAGCGUGUGGUUUAAUUCGAUGCGACGCGAAGAACCUUACCAGGAAUUGACAUGUAUGUGCAUCGUCUCGAAAGAGGCGUGCCCGCGAGGGACGCAUACACAGGUGCUGCAUGGCUGUCGUCAGCUCGUGCCGUGAGGUGUUGGGUUAAGUCCCAAAACGAGCGCAACCCCUAUCGUUUGUUGAAUUUCUCGAACGAAACUGCCACCUAAAGGUGGAGGAAGGUGGGGAUGACGUCAAGUCAGCACGGCCCUUACAUCCUGGGCGACACACACGCUACAAUGGCCGAGACAAAGAGGAGCCAACCCGCGAGGGGGAGCCAAUCUUGACAAACUCGGCCCCAGUUCGGAUUGCAGGCUGCAACCCGCCUGCAUGAAGUUGGAGUUGCUAGUAACCGUGAGUCAGCACACACGGUGAAUACGUUCCCGGGUCUUGUACACACCGCCCGUCACACCACGAAAGUCGGCAACACCUGAAGCCGCCGGGCUAACCUCCUUGUGAGGAGGCAGGCGUCGAGGGCGAGGUCGGUGAUUGGGGUGAAGUCGUAACAAGGUAGCCGUACCGGAAGGUGCGGCUGGAUCACCUCCUUUCU
rnacentral:rRNA from 1 species